rnacentral:rRNA from 1 species
UACGUAGGGUGCGAGCGUUGUCCGGAAUUAUUGGGCGUAAAGGGCUCGUAGGCGGUUUGUCGCGUCGGGAGUGAAAUCCACUGGCUUAACUGGUGGCUUGCUUUCGAUACGGGCAGACUGGAGGUAUGCAGGGGAGAACGGAAUUCCUGGUGUAGCGGUGAAAUGCGCAGAUAUCAGGAGGAACACCGGUGGCGAAGGCGUUUCUCUGGGCAUGUCCUGACGCUGAGGAGCGAAAGUGUGGGGAGCGAACAGG